rnacentral:tRNA from 3 species
GAGCCGGUAGCUCAGCUGGUAGAGCAUCGCCCUUUUAAGGCGAGGGUCCUGGGUUCGACCCCCAGCCGGCUCACCA